AGUGAACGCUGGCGGUAGGCCAAACACAUGCAAGUCGAACGGCAGCACAGUAAGAGCUUGCUCUUACGGGUGGCGAGUGGCGGACGGGUGAGGAAUACAUCGGAAUCUACUUUUUCGUGGGGGAUAACGUAGGGAAACUUACGCUAAUACCGCAUACGACCUACGGGUGAAAGCAGGGGAUCUUCGGACCUUGCGCGAUUGAAUGAGCCGAUGUCGGAUUAGCUAGUUGGCGGGGUAAAGGCCCACCAAGGCGACGAUCCGUAGCUGGUCUGAGAGGAUGAUCAGCCACACUGGAACUGAGACACGGUCCAGACUCCUACGGGAGGCAGCAGUGGGGAAUAUUGGACAAUGGGCGCAAGCCUGAUCCAGCCAUACCGCGUGGGUGUAGAAGGCCUUCGGAUUGUAAAGCCCUUUUGUUGGGAAAGAAAAGCAGCAGGUUAAUACCCCGCUGUUCUGACGGUACCCAAAGAAUAAGCACCGGCUAACUUCGUG
rnacentral:rRNA from 1 species